rnacentral:lncRNA from 1 species
UCAGAAUCGGGGGAGGAAGGUGAGAGAGGAAAGCAGAAUCCAAGAAAAGCCUUCCCUGGGAAGCACAGACGUGGCCUUGGGGCCUGGGGCUGAGAAGCCGGUCAGGAAGGGGCAGGCGGACACGGGGCCUCGGGGCCUGGGGCUGAGAAGCCGGUCAGGAAGGGGCAGGCAGACACUGCCUCUGCUGGUUGUGGGUUCAGGGCUGACGUGGCUGUGACGCACUCUGCUCAGGGUUCAGCGGGUCCUGGGUGCAGUGGUGGAGCUGUCACUGCUCACAUCCUCAUGGAACCACGUGCCAGUGACGGGGAUAGAUUUGCAGCCAGCAGCACAGCCAGACACGAGGGGCUGAGGAGGAGUCAGCAGACCAUGUAUUUGUUGUUGUUCUAAGAAACCUUUUCACUCGUCCUGCUUUGGUGACAUUCUCUCUUGAGGUGAAGCUUUAGGAAAACAGGGUCCAAGAUGGACAAACAGGAUGCUUUACGGAAUGGUCAGUGUUUUUCCAGCAUGGCCCCACCCCUGCUGGGAUGGUCCGCGGCCAUUGUGAAAAACAAGUGAGUUGGAAACUCACCCAGUUCCCAGUCAGCCCAGAGUCAGGGAAUAAAUGGACAACCAGAGAGAGCCAGAGUCGCUACAGCCAGCCUGGCAGUGCAAGCCCGGAGCUGACACAGGGCCACAGCCACGAUGCAGCCACUAAUGCGGACCCUUGGGCUGAGCCUGCUUUCCAUGCUGUGAGCCCAGGGGACCCAGAUGGUUCCUGUCCCCGCUGAGAAGGUGGAAGGACUGUGGCACGCCCUGCGCUGGGAGCAGGACAGGGAGCUACUUAAAGAGGAGACGGCUCACCCUCUGCCACCAUUCUGGAUCCAGCGUUUCCAGGGUAACUUUAUGUUAAAAAUGAAUGUAAGGGAUCCCACUGGGAACUGCACAGUAUUUAAGACACUGCUGGUGAAAACAGACAACUCUACCACGUACAGAAUCUGUGAGUAGCUGCCAGGCAGCAGAGCCACAGUCCCAGCAGCUCCCACACUCCAGCAUCUGGCCACCAGCCCUGGGGGCACGCGGACACCCAUCCAGCAGCUCCUGGCAGGCUGUGCUGACUCACCUCCGCCAGCCUCCAGGGCAGGCACUCAGCCCUCCUGGGGUCCUGUGCCCUCCGCCUGAUCCCCACUUAUUACACAGGGAAAGAAGGACUCAGCCCAUCCCUGGGUCCCAUGGACAGCAUUUCCUGGGCCCGUGGUCCCUCCCUGGCAUUUUGGAGUCAUUUACAAGGCACGUUCUCCUCGCCGGGCCCUGGCAGAGUCCAGUGGCCUCUGUGGCAUCCCGGAAGCUGUGUUUUCAUCAGCCCUGCAGAGAAGCUGUCCAAGGCCAGCAUCUGACCCCUCUGACCUCCGUCAGCCAGAGCGGAGGAAGCAGCAUCUGGGGGGGACUCUCACCGGCCUGGAGAUGCACUUGGGGCUCACCCACUCACUGCCACCAUCCUGCCUCCCCGAGUGCUCUCAGCUUCUGACUCGGGGCCCCUCCCAUUUCCUAUAGAGGGACAGAAAUUAUUAGCAUUUCAGACUCAUAGACUCAACUUAAAAAGGGCGCAACCACCCAGCUCACAAGAGCACAUCCUCCGCCCCUCCCAGCGGGGGAGCAGGAGGUCUGCAUCUGUCCGUGGAGACGGACCACUACUACAUCAUGAACACCCGGGAUGAGAGGAGGGACCCGGCCGUGCACACAAUGAACCUGACAGGCGCGUGUCCACGCUGAUGUCACGGGGCCUGUGGACGGGGGCCUGUGGACGGGGGCGCUGCCCCUUGGAGUCCUCCCUAACUCAGCCAUGCCCAGAUUCCUGCGUGGUCGGCUGUAACUGAGGUGAGUGCCACAAGGCCUCUGCGUGUGUUCAGAGUGUCCACACCAGACUCCGGCCGGACUCAUGGGCCCUGGGACUCCGCAGCCCUCGACCUUGGCAGCCUCCUUGCCUGUGGGUGCUUGAAUGCCACGCAGCAUCCGACACAUCCCACAACCUUGAGUCUGCUAUGAGUCAAGUGUGGUCGCUGUAGAUAAGGAGGAAAAAAGAUCAUGAAAAAGAACAACAACAACAAAAAAUCACUCAUGGCCGGGCGCGGUGGCUCAUGCCUGUAAUCCCAGCACUUUGGGAGGCCAAGGCAGGCAGAACACGAGGUCAAGAGAUCAAAACCAUCCUGGCUAACACGGUGAAACCCUGUCUCUACUAAAAAUACAAAAUAUUAGUCAGGUGUGGCGGCAGGCGCCUAUAAUCCCAGCUACUCGGGAGGCUGAGGCAGGAGAAUGGCGUGAACCCAGGAGGUGGAGCUUGCAGUGAGCCGAGAUCGCGCCACUGCACUCCAGCCUGGGCAACAGAGCAAGACUCCAUUUCAAAAACAAACAAACAAAAAUCACUCCUAAGCUCACCACCCAGGCCAAUGUACUCCAGAAAAAGGGAGAAGGCUUCACCACCUCCCUGUGUGAUUUCAUGUCCCAAGCUCUGUGUCUCAGGGUGUAGGAAGCCCUCUGUUGAAUAAGUCCACCCUCCCUGGCCACAGCCUUAGUCCUACUUGCUGUUUGGGAACAGAAGAUCCCUGCCCGGUGCCUACAGAGGGGUGGGCAGAGGCUGAAACCCUCCUCCAUCUUCCCUCCCAGGCCCCAGGAGCCGAAGAUUCCUCUUCUCACGACAUGAAGCUCCCCUCCCCUCCUCCAGUCCUCAGCUUUCCUUUCUAAGAGAGAAGAGACCGGGGCCUGGGCAGUGAGUGGACAGGACUGUCCCCCUGUCCUCCUCUGUAGGUGCACGCCCCUACAGGUGACACCUCUGGGUCCUCCACACCCUCAGUAGGAGCUCCAGGGCAUGGCUGGUCUCCCAGCCACACGGGAAGCCACAGGAUCCCCAUGGGACAUCCCCAGCCACGUGCCACACUCAGUAACCACCCGUGGGCUUGUGUGCAAAUCCCUGAAGUCAGUGAUGGCUCAAAUGUCGUCUCUGCCACCGUGGAGGUUGGCCAUGGGGGAAAGGUGACGGGGGCAGAAGGGUGAGGGCUCCAAGUGGCUCGAGGAAGGGGCCAUGGUGUGAGCAGGGGCACGGGCGGGCAGUCAAGGAGCUGGGAAGGGCCAGCCAGUCCUGCCCUGGAGCCUCCGGGAGGAGCCAGCGCUGCGGACACCUUGGCUGUAGCCAGGGAGGCUCACUUUGGACUUCCAACCUCCACACCUGUCAGAGGCCACGAGUGUUUAGCCAUUAAAGAAACCUCCAGGGGCUGCGGUGACAAAUGACCACAGACUCAGGAGCUGAACACAACGCACAUGCAUUGUCUCACAAUUCUGGAGUCAAAAGUCUAGAAACAGUCGGUGGGGCUGGUUCCUUCUGGAGACUUCUGGGAAGGGGAGAAGCCGCUUUCUUGGCUUUCCCAGUUUCUGGAGUGGCUGCAUCCUGCACUCUCGGCCCCGCCAUGCCACCAAGGCCUCCGUUUCUGUAGCCUCUGCUGCUCUCUGGCAUCUGCACGGUUGCCCCGAAGCCGCUCCGCGACGGCCCUCCCUGAGCUGUGUAGCGCUGGGGGGAGGAGGCGUGGCCACAGUGGGCUGCAUUCAGGAUCUUGAAAGCCACUGAAGCCAUGGCUGGCUCUCAGUCCUCAGGGAGCCUCUUCCCCUGCCUGGCACCAGGCUCCCAGAAUCUGGGAGGCAGCCUCUUCAUCUGGCUGCUGGUGGAGACCUGAGCCCAGCCCCAGGGUCCUCAGUCCUGCCCCUUGUCCUCCGCAAGCUCUCACUACAUCCUACCUAUGUCCAGGGACCUCGGCCCAUGCAUCUGCCCAGAUCCCAGCCUACCCGAGAGCAUGCAUCCCCAACUGGACCAGCACCCAACACAGCCCAGGGCUCCCCUGACCCACAUAAACCUUGUUAAUAUUGCCUCUGUGGUCUCUGCUUGUUGCCUGAGGGGUGGAGGUGGGGGGUAUCUGCUCAGACUGGCUCCAGCGCGUCCUAAGGCCAGGCCCUUCCCAAAGGAGAGUGAAGCCAGGCCCCAUGAGUCCCAGCUGGACAGGAAG